ACGUAGGGGGCGAGCGUUGUCCGGAAUUACUGGGCGUAAAGGGUGCGUAGGUGGCCUUUUAAGUUGGAUGUGAAAUCCCCGAGCUUAACCUGGGUGGUGCAUCUAAUACUGGAGGGCUAGAGUGCAGGAGAGGAAAGCGGAAUUCCUAGUGUAGCGGUGAAAGGAGGAGAUAUGAGGAGGAACACCAGUGGCGAAGGCGGCUUUCUGGACUGUAACUGACACUGAGGCACGAAAGCGUGGGGAGCAAGGAG
rnacentral:rRNA from 1 species